rnacentral:rRNA from 1 species
CCCUUAGAUGUUCUGGGCGGCCCGCGCACUACAUUGGUACUAGCAAAGAGAUCCUAGAUUGAAUUCUUUGGGGUAUUCUUCUAAAUGGUGUCGUGACUGGGAUAAAUCCUUGUAAUUAUUGGUUUUGAACGAGGAAUUCCUUGUAAUCGCGGUUUAUCAGCUCGCGUUGAAUGCGUCCCUGCCCUUUGUACACACCGCCCGUCGCUCCUACCGAUGGAUCGUCCGGUGAAGCUCACGGAGUGACUGUUCACGCAACGGUUUACGAAGUGAAAUGGACCUCACGAUUUAGAGGAAGGAGAAGUCGUAACA